GUAUUUUGACUAUACAAAGGUAUUGUAAUAAGACUUUAAUUGAGUGCUAAAAGAAUGGAGUUUCAAAAAAAGGCUAUCUUGAAUUCAAAAAUUGAAUUUAUUUUUAUUUGUGAAGAAACAAUAAUUAAAAUUAAGGACAAGAAGACCCUAAGAAUUUUUAAUUUUGUAUAUAUAUAUAUUUAUAUAUACAAAAUUUUAAUUGGGGCGAUUAAAAAAUAUAGUUAACUUUUAAUUUAAAAAAUGAUCC
rnacentral:rRNA from 1 species